rnacentral:tRNA from 1 species
UCCUCGGUAGCUCACUGGUAGAGCGGUCUAUUGUUAACUGACUGGUCGUAGGUUCGAAUCCUACUUGGAGAG